rnacentral:rRNA from 1 species
UACAGAGGGUGCAGGCGUUAAUCGGAAUUACUGGGCGUAAAGCGUGCGUAGACGGUUAUGUAAGUCGGGUGUGAAAGCCCCGGGCUCAACCUGGGAAUGCCAUUCGAGACUGCAUAGCUAGGGUGCGGUAGAGGGAAGCGGAAUUUCCGGUGUAGCGGUGAAAUGCGUAGAUAUCGGAAGGAACAUCAGUGGCGAAAGCGGCUUCCUGGACCAGCACCGACGUUCAGGCACGAAAGCGUGGGGAGCAAACAGG